AUUGCCUCAGUAACGGCGAGUGAAGCGGCAAGAGCUCAAAUUUGAAAGCUGGCCCCUCCGGGGUCCGCAUUGUAAUUUGCAGAGGAUGCUUCGGGCUCAGCCCCCGUCUAAGUGCCCUGGAACGGGCCGUCGGAGAGGGUGAGAAUCCCGUCUGGGACGGGGUGCCUGGGUCCAUGUGAAGCUCCUUCGACGAGUCGAGUUGUUUGGGAAUGCAGCUCUAAAUGGGUGGUAAAUUUCAUCUAAAGCUAAAUACUGGCCGGAGACCGAUAGCGCACAAGUAGAGUGAUCGAAAGAUGAAAAGCACUUUGAAAAGAGAGUUAAACAGCACGUGAAAUUGUUGAAAGGGAAGCGCUUGCGAUCAGACUCGCCUGCGGGGUUCAGCCGGCAUUCGUGCCGGUGUACUUCCCCGUGGGCGGGCCAGCGUCGGUUCGGGUGGCCGGUCAAAGGCCCCGGGAAUGUGUCGCCCUCCGGGGCGUCUUAUAGCCCGGGGUGCCAUGCGGCCUACCUGGACCGAGGAACGCGCUUCGGCUCGGACGCUGGCGUAAUGGUCGUAAGCGGCCCGUCUU
rnacentral:rRNA from 10 species